GCUUAAUUAGUAUAAUAAAGUAUCAUAGACUUCCAAUCUUUAGGUCCACCUAUGGAUUAAGCA
rnacentral:tRNA from 1 species